rnacentral:rRNA from 1 species
UAAUACGUAGGGUGCGAGCGUUAAUCGGAAUUACUGGGCGUAAAGCGUGCGCAGGCGGCUCUUUAAGUCAGAUGUGAAAGCCCCGGGCUUAACCUGGGAACUGCGUUUGAAACUGGAGGGCUGGAGUGUGGCAGAGGGAGGUGGAAUUCCACGUGUAGCAGUGAAAUGCGUAGAGAUGUGGAGGAACACCAAUGGCGAAGGCAGCCUCCUGGGCCAACACUGACGCUCAUGCACGAAAGCGUGGGGAGCAAACAGGAUUAGAUACCCUGGUAGUCCACGCCCUAAACGAUGUCGACUGGUUGUUGGGGAAGGAAACUUCCUUAGUAACGAAGCUAACGCGUGAAGUCGACCGCCUGGGGAGUACGGCCGCAAGGUUA